AAGGCCAGGCUGGAUGGGGCUGUGAGCAAUCUAGUCUAGAGAGAGGUGUCCCUGCUUGUAGUAGGGGAGAAUGGAACUAGAUAAUAUUAAGCAUCCAUUCCAACCAAACCAUUCUAUGAUUUUAAGUACAAGAGGUGAAAAGUUCUUGGGCUAUCCAGGUGAUUCCUCUGUGACCUCACAGCAGAAUGGGACAGUGGUGUGUACCAGAGCUCAGAAUGAGGUACUGGCUCUUGCUGCUUGCUCUGCUGCUGGGGGCUGUGCUCCCUCUGCCCCUGCACCAAAGCUAUUCUGUCCCUGAGGACUUUUCUGCCCCCCUGGAGCUCCCACAGAAGCACUUUGGCUUGGUGGAUGAUUAUGGCAUUAAACCAAAACAGCCUCGCUUCAAGACCAUAACACCCCGGAAGCAGCCAGCAGUACUGCAGAGGGCUGGCAAAACCAAACGUGACGACCUUGAUUUGGAGUACUACUAUGAUGCCCAGCUGUGAGAGAAGCAGGGCACUCAGCUUCUGCGUCUUCAUCCUGCAAGAAUCUGACUCUGCCACUGCGUUAGAAGUCACCCCUGAGGGAUGUGAUGGGAAGCUGAGCCAUGGUCACAGCAAGGAGACAUU